CCCAAGCAAGCAAAACAUGUUCCUCUCGGGUGCAAAGUCCAGUUUCCAGGCCUUUUGUCUUGUUGACUGCUUCCAUGGGGAAAGCAGUGGCUACAGCCUCCCCAGUGACCUCCUGCCAUCUCCGGGGGCACAUAUAUCAACCAGUCAGUGAAGCUGAGGAGGUUCAUGAUAUCGCCGUUCGAUCCUCGUUACAGAGCAUGGCAGAUGUUCCUGAUUCUACUUGUCAUUUAUUCAGCCUGGAUUUGCUCAUUUGAAUUAGCUUCCCUGAGAUAUAUAACUCCCAGCAAAGCUUUUAUGGAUUGAGAACAUUCUCAGCAGUUUCUUCGCAAUUGAUAGUUGGGAACAAGCUAUCUCGGCCUUCUCAUCUCGACAAUCUCACGGCUUAUUCUCCUCAAAAUCCUUUGCUCUCCAGAGAUGAUUACUGGCCACCAAUUCCGUACACUCCCGAAAAAGGUCAGAUCGAUGCUCGUCGACAAAUGGCAGCAAUUUUGGAAAACACGAGUUCAAAACUGUUAGAGGAACCGCUUCAACUUCUUUCAUGGACUUAACGAGUUCGGAUCAUGAAAAGGAACAAAGAAGGUUGCAGAGGAAAUGAUGGUGGUUUUUUUAACUUAGGUUUGGUCUCCACGUCGAGUUCGAGAUCUAUUGGCAACCCUUGGUAUCGUCAGUAUGAUUGUCCUAAUUUCAGCUUGCAACAUAGUCCGUAUGUUGUUCCACUUAAGCUCUCAGUACCUUACCAGCAUUGUUACUAUUUACACUUUAUUAUAAUCACUUGUUAAUGAUCAUUCCACAUCUGUUUUCAACAAGUAAAUCUACUGUGAAGUAAAUUG